GACGAACGCUGGCGGCGUGCUUAACACAUGCAAGUCGAGCGGUAAGGCCCUUUCGGGGGUACACGAGCGGCGAACGGGUGAGUAACACGUGGGUGACCUGCCCUCAGCUCUGGGAUAAGCCUGGGAAACCGGGUCUAAUACUGGAUAUGACUCCAUGACGCAUGUUGUGGGGUGGAAAGCCUUGUGCGGCUGAGGAUGGGCCCGCGGCCUAUCAGCUUGUUGGUGGGGUGANGGCCUACCAAGGCGACGACGGGUAGCCGGCCUGAGAGGGCGACCGGCCACACUGGGACUGAGACACGGCCCAGACUCCUACGGGAGGGCAGCAGUGGGGAAUCUUGCGCAAUGGGCAAAGCCUGACGCAGCGACGCCGCGUGAGGGAUGACGGCCU
rnacentral:rRNA from 1 species